rnacentral:lncRNA from 15 species
UGUCUUCUUCCUCUUUCUAUCAAUGACCGCAAUGGUUGUGAAGACAGCAACUCCCAUGAUCCCACGCUGCUUCACCACCUCAUCUACCUUCCUCUUUUCUUCCUGUUUUGAUGUGAGAGACCCCCUAGUGGCAGAAUGACAGAUUGUACGUUUAAGUUGAGUGAUGAGCAGCAGGGUGACAAUGAGCGCAGCCAAUGACGCGCUGACUGUGUGAAUCAGGAAGUGGUGAAGCUGAAGGCGUCACUCUGCUGCUGACACUGACUGACAGUCCACAUCCAGACAACAUGAAGGCUUCAUCUGUGUCUCUGCUGCUCGGUGUGUCUGUGCUGCUGCUGUCUGCACUGACUGUUUCUGCAGGUGAGCUGAUGGAAGUGAAACAAUCACUGACAUUAAAUAAUAAUAAUAAUAAUAAUAAUAAUGUCUCUCUGUCUGUCUGUCUCUCUGUCUGUCUGUCUGUCUAACUGACUGUCUCUCUGUCUGUCUGUCUGUCUGUUUGUCUGUCUAACUGACUGUCUCUCUCUCUGUCUGUCGGUCUAACUGACUGUCUCUCUCUCUGUCUAUCUGUCUAACUGACUGUCUGUCUCUCUGUCUGUCUGUCUGUCCUCCAGUCUCUCUGGAGGUCAGUCCCAACCGUCCUCAGUUCUUAGAGAAGAGUCAGUCUGUCUGAAAUGU